UACGUAGGUGGCGAGCGUUGUUCGGAUUUAUUGGGCGUAAAGCGCGCGCAGGCGGUGCGGUAAGUCUGUCGUGAAAUCUCCCGGCUCAACUGGGAGGGUGCGGUGGAGACUGCCGGACUGGAGGCACUCAGAGGCCGGUGGAAUUCCCGGUGUAGUGGUGAAAUGCGUAGAGAUCGGGAGGAACACCAGUGGCGAAGGCGGCCGGCUGGGGGUGACCUGACGCUGAGGCGCGAAAGCGUGGGGAGCGAACCGG
rnacentral:rRNA from 1 species